rnacentral:rRNA from 1 species
GUCCGCCUUCCCCUAGGGGGGGGAGCACAGUAGGGAAUCUUCGGCAAUGGACGAAAGUCUGACCGAGCAACGCCGCGUGAGUGAAGAAGGUUUUCGGAUCGUAAAACUCUGUUGUUAGAGAAGAACAAGGACGUUAGUAACUGAACGUCCCCUGACGGUAUCUAACCAGAAAGCCACGGCUAACUACGUGCCAGCAGCCGCGGUAAUACGUAGGUGGCAAGCGUUGUCCGGAUUUAUUGGGCGUAAAGCGAGCGCAGGCGGUUUCUUAAGUCUGAUGUGAAAGCCCCCGGCUCAACCGGGGAGGGUCAUUGGAAACUGGGAGACUUGAGUGCAGAAGAGGAGAGUGGAAUUCCAUGUGUAGCGGUGAAAUGCGUAGAUAUAUGGAGGAACACCAGUGGCGAAGGCGGCUCUCUGGUCUGUAACUGACGCUGAGGCUCGAAAGCGUGGGGAGCAAACAGGAUUAGAUACCCUGGUAGUCCACGCCGUAAACGAUGAGUGCUAAGUGUUGGAGGGUUUCCGCCCUUCAGUGCUGCAGCAAACGCAUAAGCACUCCGCCUGGGAGACCCCCGAACUG